rnacentral:rRNA from 1 species
UGGGGAAUUUUGCGCAAUGGGCGAAAGCCUGACGCAGCAACGCCGCGUGGAGGAUGAAGGUUCUCUGAAUCGUAAACUCCUGUCGGCCGGGAAGAAUGGGCAGGGUGCUAAUCAGCCCUGUUUUGACUGUACCGGCAAAGGAAGCCCCGGCUAACUCCGUGCCAGCAGCCGCGGUAAUACGGGGGGGGCAAGCGUUACUCGGAAUUAUUGGGCGUAAAGGGCGCGUAGGCGGUCGUGUGCGUCGGAGGUGAAAUCCCCAGGCUUAACCUGGGAACUGCCUCCGAUACGGCAUGGCUUGAGUCCGGGAGAGGGGAGCAGAAUUCCCAGUGUAGCGGUGAAAUGCGUAGAUAUUGGGAGGAAUACCAGUGGCGAAGGCGGCUCCCUGGACCGGUACUGACGCUGAGGCGCGAAAGCGUGGGUAGCAAACAGGAUUAGAUACCCGCGUAGUCC